GUGCUCGCUUCGGCAGCACAUACACCAAAAUUGGAACGACAGAGAAGAUUAACAUGGCCCCUGUGCAAGGAUGACACAAAAAUUUCAAAUUAAAGAAAAAAGAAA